AGGCCGUCCUCCCCAUACAGGAACUGGACCACGCUGCCGUCGCUGUCACGGACCGUCAGAUCGUACUGGAUGACCAGCCCCUCCAGGUGCUUGAUGAUACACCUGUAAGGAAACGCCCUGCUCAGUGCCCAUGGAAAACACCUUCCAGGGCGGCUAUGAGGGGAAGGAAGGGGACUACUGCUCCAGGAGAAACUCUAUGAUGGACCACUUCCAGUGCUCCAGGCCAUGGAUUCAACAUCCAGAGGCUACAAUUCCUGCCCGUUUUCCAGGAAGAGAGCACCUCAGUGGUCUGGCUGCCACACUCCCAAGGCCAGGUUUCCUAUUUAGCUCAGCUGAUAUGGCUACUCCCUGUUGCUUUGCUCUGCUGCAUCUCAGAGCUCUAAUGAACCAGCCAGCAUCCUUAGAAUCACAGGCAGGCAAAGAAGGGAAGAGAAGGAAGAAUUCUUAAACUGUCAGUGCAGACUGCCAAGCAAAAUGGGAGCAUCAGGAACUAAAUGCUGACAUGAUGCCCCUACCUAAAGAUCUUUGUCUCCAGUCCUCUAUGGUAGCUGGCUCCUUCACCCGCCUUUGCUUUCUGUCUUGGUCACAACUAAAUGGCUACUGCAGUUUUCUAAGACCCUGUUUUCCAACCCAAGCUGGGAGAGUAGAGCUCAGUUCUAGCCACCAGUUCCAUGAUGUUUGACUCAGCGCCCGGGAAGCUGGUGGCAAACACCAGCUCUCCUUUCCCCACACAUGGUGGUGGUGAUGUCAGUCUUCGGCCCGCUGCUAUGCUGGCCUUAGAGGGCCUAACAGCUGCUCCUCAUGUCCAUGUCUCUAGACUGCUUCUCUGAGCUUCAGAUCUUAUCUCUAAUGGUUCACUGACACAUCUACUUUGAACCGCCUCCUAUCAAACCGCAGCCAGCCGUAUUCCCCGCUGCUACAGUAUUCGGUUUCCUGUCAAUUGUGCUGUGCUGCCUCUGAGGCCUGAAAACUUGAGUGAGCAGUUCUGUGCCUUCUCCACUUACCCACCUGAAGCCUGUGCUGUGCCUCCUCCUGCCUCAGCUCCCCACUGGCAGGUGAAUUCUGCAAGAUCACUCAGGAGUGCCCUCAACUCUUGUCCUCCCUACACUGAUGCCAUGGAGUCAAGGAGGAAGUGAACACAACAUGGGCACACAUGGAGACAUUGAAAAGAGAUUAUAUCAUCUAAAGAAUGUACACGACAGGUUCAGGGUCUUGGGAUACCAACCCACCUAUCUGAGGUACUUUGUUUUUUACCUUUGGAGAUAGCCAGAACGGCUGGUUUUGACAGCAGUGUCCACCAGGCCUUCUCGUCCCGCCAUGCAGUGGAAGAAGAACUCCUAUGGGGAAAGUGGGAGCGCGAUGUGGCAGUGAGUACCAUGCAGGGUCACCUUAUGCACCCUCUCCUAGCCAUGCAGAUUGUUCAUUUCCUGGAUCCUAGAAUCCUGGCUUUCAUAACCCCAAUAGCUUCUAAAGACUUGUGAUGCCCUGGGAUCGCUCUCUUCCUGCCUGAGGUGGAGAGACACGUGGAUCAAAAGCAACAGGAGCCAGAAGCCAUAAGUGCACUCCCUCAUGCAUCCUGAGGACACUGUAUGCCACUCUGCAGUGAAAAGCAAUGCUGGAGUUCACCGCUGUCUGAAAAUCACAGACCUGGAUCCUGUAGCCUAAACUUCUCUGUUUAGUUUUGGGAUAAAGUCUUCAUAUGUC
ensembl:antisense uncharacterized LOC110296161